GGAGGAAGAGAAAGAAAAUUCGAUUCCCUUAGUAGCGGCGAGCGAAACGGGAAGAGCCCAAACCAACAAGCUUGCUUGUUGGGGUUGUAGGACACUCUAUACGGAGUUACAAAGGACGACAUUAGACGAAUCAUCUGGAAAGAUGAAUCAAAGAAGGUAAUAAUCCUGUAGUCGAAAAUGUUGUCUCUCUUGAGUGGAUCCUGAGUACGACGGAGCACGUGAAAUUCCGUCGGAAUCUGGGAGGACCAUCUCCUAAGGCUAAAUACUCUCUAGUGACCGAUAGUGAACCAGUACCGUGAGGGAAAGGUGAAAAGCACCCCGGAAGGGGAGUGAAAUAGAACCUGAAACCGUGUGCUUACAAGUAGUCAGAGCCCGUUAAUGGGUGAUGGCGUGCCUUUUGUAGAAUGAACCGGCGAGUUACGAUUUGAUGCAAGGUUAAGCAGUAAAUGUGGAGCCGUAGCGAAAGCGAGUCUGAAUAGGGCGUUUAGUAUUUGGUCGUAGACCCGAAACCAGGUGAUCUACCCUUGGUCAGGUUGAAGUUCAGGUAACACUGAAUGGAGGACCGAACCGACUUACGUUGAAAAGUGAGCGGAUGAACUGAGGGUAGCGGAGAAAUUCCAAUCGAACCUGGAGAUAGCUGGUUCUCUCCGAAAUAGCUUUAGGGCUAGCCUCAAGUGAUGAUUAUUGGAGGUAGAGCACUGUUUGGACGAGGGGCCCCUCUCGGGUUACCGAAUUCAGACAAACUCCGAAUGCCAAUUAAUUUAACUUGGGAGUCAGAACAUGGGUGAUAAGGUCCGUGUUCGAAAGGGAAACAGCCCAGACCACCAGCUAAGGUCCCAAAAUAUAUGUUAAGUGGAAAAGGAUGUGGCGUUGCCCAGACAACUAGGAUGUUGGCUUAGAAGCAGCCAUCAUUUAAAGAGUGCGUAAUAGCUCACUAGUCGAGUGACACUGCGCCGAAAAUGUACCGGGGCUAAACAUAUUACCGAAGCUGUGGAUUGUCCUUUGGACAAUGGUAGGAGAGCGUUCUAAGGGCGUUGAAGCAUGAUCGUAAGGACAUGUGGAGCGCUUAGAAGUGAGAAUGCCGGUGUGAGUAGCGAAAGACGGGUGAGAAUCCCGUCCACCGAUUGACUAAGGUUUCCAGAGGAAGGCUCGUCCGCUCUGGGUUAGUCGGGUCCUAAGCUGAGGCCGACAGGCGUAGGCGAUGGAUAACAGGUUGAUAUUCCUGUACCACCUAUAAUCGUUUUA
rnacentral:rRNA from 1 species